GAUGAACGCUAGCGGAAGGCAUAAUACAUGCAAGUCGAACGGAUGUAGCAAUACAUUAGUGGCGCACGGGUGCGUAACGCGUAUGCAACCUACCUUCAUCAGGGGGAUAACUACCCGAAAGGGUGGCUAACACCGCAUAAUACUAUUGAGUGGCAUCACUUGAUAUUUAAAUCUGAGGAGGAUGAAGAUGGGCAUGCGUCUGAUUAGCUAGUUGGUGUGGUAACGGCGCACCAAGGCGACGAUCAGUAGGGGAACUGAGAGGUUGGUCCCCCACACUGGCACUGAGAUACGGGCCAGACUCCUACGGGAGGCAGCAGUAGGGAAUAUUGGUCAAUGGUGGGAACACUGAACCAGCCAUUCCGCGUGCAGGAAGAAGGGUCUCUGACUUGUAAACUGCUUUAGCAAGGGAAGAAAAAGCUCAUGCGUGAGAAAUUGGCGGUACCUUGAGAAUAAGCACCGGCUAACUACGUGCCAGCCGCCGCAGUAAAAC
rnacentral:rRNA from 1 species